rnacentral:rRNA from 1 species
UACGAAGGGGGCUAGCGUUGCUCGGAAUUACUGGGCGUAAAGCGCACGUAGGCGGAUUGUUAAGUCGGGGGUGAAAUCCUGGAGCUCAACUCCAGAACUGCCUUCGAUACUGGCGAUCUCGAGUUCGGGAGAGGUGAGUGGAACUGCGAGUGUAGAGGUGAAAUUCGUAGAUAUUCGCAAGAACACCAGUGGCGAAGGCGGACUCGCUGGCCCGAUACUGACGCUGAGGUGCGAAAGCGUGGGGAGCAAACAGGGAUUAAGAAACCC